rnacentral:rRNA from 1 species
GUGGGGAAUAUUGGGCAAUGGGGGAAACCCUGACCCAGCAACGCCGCGUGAAGGAAGAAGGCUUUCGGGUUGUAAACUUCUUUUAUGAGGGACGAAGAAGUGACGGUACCUCAUGAAUAAGCCACGGCUAACUACGUGCCAGCAGCCGCGGUAAUACGUAGGUGGCAAGCGUUGUCCGGAUUUACUGGGUGUAAAGGGCGCGUAGGCGGACUGGCAAGUCAGAUGUGAAAUCCAUGAGCUCAACUCAUGAACUGCAUUUGAAACUGUUGGUCUUGAGUAUCGGAGAGGCAAGCGGAAUUGCUAGUGUAGCGGUGAAAUGCGUAGAUAUUAGGAGGAACACCAGUGGCGAAGGCGGCUUGCUGGACGACAACUGACGCUGGGGCGCGAAAGCGUGGGGAGCAAACAGGAUUAGAAACCCGAGUAGUCC